GACGAACGCUGGCGGCGUGCUUAACACAUGCAAGUCGAACGAGACGAUUUAGAAGCUUGCUUUUAUUGAGUCGAGUGGCAAACGGGUGAGUAACGCGUAGACAACCUGCCUCAUACAGAGGGAUAACAGCUGGAAACGGCUGCUAAUACCGCAUAAGCGCACAGUGCUGCAUGGCACAGUGUGAAAAACUCCGGUGGUAUGAGAUAGACCCGCGUCUGAUUAGCCAGUUGGCAGGGUAACGGCCUACCAAAGCGACGAUCAGUAGCCGACCUGAGAGGGUGACCGGCCACAUUGGGACUGAGACACGGCCCAAACUCCUACGGGAGGCAGCAGUGGGGAAUAUUGCACAAUGGGGGAAACCCUGAUGCAGCGACGCCGCGUGAGCGAAGAAGUAUUUCGGUAUGUAAAGCUCUAUCAGCAGGGAAGAAGAAUGACGGUACCUGACUAAGAAGCACCGGCUAAAUACGUGCCAGCAGCCGACGG
rnacentral:rRNA from 1 species